GUCUUACUAAUAAAAAAUCACUAUACAUGCGUUAUAACAAGGUGAUAGUAAUUCAGUGAAUAGAGCUUGUACAGGGCAUAAACACCUCUUUGACCAAUAAUCGAUGUGUAUUGGUUGAAUAACAAAACGACCCUUAUUUAUUGUUACCCUGGCAACCCGCCGUGUUUGAUUGACGUUUGAUUUAAUAAUUCUGAUACAACUCAUAAUUCUAAUGUAAGUUGUAUUUAUUUUAUCAACCAAAGCAAUUAUAUACACAUUUACUUAAUAUACUAAUAACAUUUUAUUAUUUGCAGCUAAUAGAAACUCCAAAACCUCAGACAAAGAGGACUAGAAUUUUGCAUAAAAGGCCGCGUUCUGCAGUACAAAAGUUAGAAGAGGCAUCUCAAAUAGUGGAAAGUACCAAACUCUGCAACACGGUAGUGUUCCAGUGUUUCCAGGAAGAGCACGAAACAAAACAAAGGCAGAUGGCUGAAACACAUGAGCUAAAACAGAAGCAACUUGCCGAAGCUCACGAAAGGGCUAGACAGGAGCAUCUUCUAAGGCUCAAAUUGUUACAGCAGCAAUUAAAUGAAUAAUUAUAUACUUAUAAAAAAAUAAAACCCCUGUUUUAAAUGAAA